rnacentral:rRNA from 1 species
AGUGAACGCUGGCGGUAGGCCUAACACAUGCAAGUCGAACGGCAGCACAGUAAGAGCUUGCUCUUACGGGUGGCGAGUGGCGGACGGGUGAGGAAUACAUCGGAAUCUACUUUUUCGUGGGGGAUAACGUAGGGAAACUUACGCUAAUACCGCAUACUACCUACGGGUGAAAGCAGGGGAUCUUCGGACCUUGCGCGAUUGAAUGAGCCGAUGUCGGAGUAGCUAGUUGGCGGGGUAAAGGCCCACCAAGGCGACGAUCCGUAGCUGGUCUGAGAGGAUGAUCAGCCACACUGGAACUGAGACACGGUCCAGACACCUACGGGAGGCAGCAGUGGGGAAUAUUAGACGAUGGGCGCAAGCCUGAUCCAGCAAUACCGCGUGAGUGAAGAAGGCCUUCUGGUUGUCAAGCCCUUUUGUUGGGAAAGAAAAGCAGCAGGUUAAUACCCCGCUGUUAUGACGGUACCCAAAGAAUAAGCACCGGCUAACUUCGUG